rnacentral:rRNA from 1 species
UGUCGUGAGAUGUUGGGUUAAGUCCCGCAACGAGCGCAACCCUUGAUCUUAGUUGCCAUCAUUAAGUUGGGCACUCUAAGGUGACUGCCGGUGACAAACCGGAGGAAGGUGGGGAUGACGUCAAAUCAUCAUGCCCCUUAUGACCUGGGCUACACACGUGCUACAAUGGACGGUACAAAGAGCUGCAAGACCGCGAGGUGGAGCUAAUCUCAUAAAACCGUUCUCAGUUCGGAUUGUAGGCUGCAACUCGCCUACAUGAAGCUGGAAUCGCUAGUAAUCGCGGAUCAGCAU